UCCCCCGUCAGAUUGGAGAGGUUCCCCAGGGACUUGGCCUGUAUUCGACCUAUGCCUGAGGAAAAGCAAACAUUUCUCUUUUAGAAACCAAGAGGGAGAGAUUCUGACCAGAAGAGUUACAGCUCAGCAGCUGUGAGCCAACAGCGCGCUGGGAAUGAAGGAAAAAUGCGUGGGAAAAGGUCAUUUUAAGGGAAGGGGAUGUACAGCAUCUAAAACACUGAAUGUCAGUCAAACGGGGGAAAGUGAGCGUUGAUGAGAAAUGCAGUGAAAUCACGUUACGUAUGAUGCGGUUACUAAGGACUACCGUGAUGGGGACACGGGUGCUCCAUCGCUUUCAGCAUCUCAUUCAGACGGACGUUGGUAAAUACUAGGAAAUGAGCUUUGUUAGGUUUGGACAGGAAGGCAGAGAUCUCUGCGUGGCCAAACACACACUAGGAAGAGAACAAACCACAGAACUCCCAAACUCCCUCAGUACAAGCGGACGGCAGAGCGGGUUCAUUCGACAGGACCAGUACGUCAAAUGAAUGAGUAACGCCAGCGAGGAAUGUUGAGCAAACAGCUGUGUGGGCAUCCAAAAUGUAUUCCACUGGAGUGAAACCGGUACCGUCAUCAAGGGUGGAGAAGAGACGCAUGCCGAUGGUGCUAGUCAGAGCAGAAGAAGUGGUGGUCCUCCGACCUCCCUCGUCAAAGGGCUGUACAAAAUCAACCCCAAAAUUCCACUUUAUGCAUUUUAAAAACUCCAAACACAAGAUCUAGCUUUAAAUGACUCAAUUAAAGAGGAAACAUAAAGGAAAAAUGUUGUCAACUAACAAUUUCCUCUUCAUCAUGCAUUAUAGCUAUUUUCUUUAACAAAAGGCGAGGAAGAUGACACAAGACAAAUGACAAAACAGAUGAAUUGACGACAAGGGAAUAAGCCUCAUAGUGCUCGACUAACCUGGGUGGAGUGGUGUCGUUUGAGCUGUCUGUAGGGCGUGGAGGAGGCCGGCGUGGGGGGUUUGUUGGGGUUCAAAACUCUGGAGACAAACUCCUGAACAUCCAUCACUCCGUCGCUGGUUAGAUUCUGGAGCACAUCCAAAUGUGGCUGAAAAAUAAAUGCAUGUUCCUUUGUUGCAACACUUGAUAAACAAAUAAUAAAAACGCAUUUUGUUGA